GAAUUCGCCCUUAGAGUUUGAUCCUGGCUCAGAACGAACGCUGGCGGCAGGCCUAACACAUGCAAGUCGAGCGCUACCUUCGGGUGGAGCGGCGGACGGGUUAGUAACGCGUGGGAAUAUACCCUUCACUAUGGAAUAGCCUCGGGAAACUGAGAGUAAUACCAUAUACGCCCUUCGGGGGAAAGAUUUAUCGGUGAAGGAUUAGCCCGCGUAAGAUUAGAUAGUUGGUGGGGUAAUGGCCUACCAAGUCUACGAUCUUUAGCUGGUUUUAGAGGAUGAUCAGCAACACUGGGACUAAGACACGGCCCAGACUCCUACGGGAGGCAGCAGUGGGGAAUCUUAGACAAUGGGCGAAAGCCUGAUCUAGCCAUGCCGCGUGAGUGAUGAAGGUCUUAGGAUCGUAAAGCUCUUUCGCUAGGGAUGAUAAUGACAGUACCUAGUAAAGAAGCCCCGGCUAACUCCGUGCCAGCAGCCGCGGUAAUAAGGGCG
rnacentral:rRNA from 1 species